UACGUAGGUCGCAAGCGUUGUCCGGAUUUACUGGGCGUAAAGAGCGCGCAGGCGGCUGGUCAAGUCCGAUGUGAAAUCUCCCGGCUUAACUGGGAAACUGCAUCGGAAACUGAUCGGCUUGAAGGUGGGAGAGGGUAGUGGAAUUCCCGGUGUAGUGGUGAAAUGCGUAGAUAUCUGGAGGAACACCGGUGGCGAAGGCGGCUUCCUGGACCGACACUGACGCUGAGGCGCGAAAGCUAGGGGAGCAAACGGG
rnacentral:rRNA from 1 species